ACGCACGCUGGCGGCGUGCUUAACACAUGCAAGUCGGACGGAAAGGCCCUGCUUUUGUGGGGUGCUCGAGUGGCGAACGGGUGAGUAACACGUGAGUAACCUGCCCUUGACUUUGGGAUAACUUCAGGAAACUGGGGCUAAUACCGGAUAGGAGCUCCUGCUGCAUGGUGGGGGUUGGAAAGUUUCGGCGGUUGGGGAUGGACUCGCGGCUUAUCAGCUUGUUGGUGGGGUAGUGGCUUACCAAGGCUUUGACGGGUAGCCGGCCUGAGAGGGUGACCGGCCACAUUGGGACUGAGAUACGGCCCAGACUCCUACGGGAGGCAGCAGUGGGGAAUAUUGCACAAUGGGCGGAAGCCUGAUGCAGCAACGCCGCGUGCGGGAUGACGGCCUUCGGGUUGUAAACCGCUUUCGCCUGUGACGAAGCGUGAGUGACGGUAAUGGGUAAAGAAGCACCGGCUAACUACGUG
rnacentral:rRNA from 1 species